CAGCCGCCGCGGGAAUACGUAGGGUGCGAGCGUUAAUCGGAAUUACUGGGCGUAAAGCGUGCGCAGGCGGUGCUGCAAGACCGAUGUGAAAGCCCCGGGCUUAACCUGGGAACUGCAUUGGUGACUGCAGCGCUGGAGUAUGGCAGAGGGGGGUGGAAUUCCACGUGUAGCAGUGAAAUGCGUAGAGAUGUGGAGGAACACCGAUGGCGAAGGCAGCCCCCUGGGCCAAUACUGACGCUCAUGCACGAAAGCGUGGGGAGCAAACAGGAUUAGAUACCCCCGUAGUCCCUGUCUCUUAUAA
rnacentral:rRNA from 1 species